rnacentral:lncRNA from 1 species
CAAGUCCUCUUAUAAUUUCUCAUCUCCAUGUUGGCUUUCUUGUUCCUAAAAGCCAUCCCUUUCUGAGCUAUUUACUAUGGCACAUCCCAUACACAGAAAAUACCUCCUCAAGCAGGGAGCUUACUGGGACAGACACGAGUCAGUCAGCACCAGCUGACAAGGAACAAUUCAAUACAGCCUAUUCUGCACUCUCUGGGCCUGGGACACGAAUCCAAAGGCUAAUAAAGCAGUAAUCCCUUGCUGAUCCACAGGCUCUGUUUCCCACAUCAUUACUCCAGGUUAUAUCUGCUCUCACCACCCUAGAUCUCCCUUCUCAUCCUUCUUCCCCACCUUUCAGUGUCCUCACUAGUGUGACAUCAUCACAGCCACCUUUCAGGACCCACAAAUGGAGCCACUGAUACUCAGUUGUUUCAGUCCUCCCCUGUUAAUUGCUGCUAUCCCAAAGCACAGAGUAUUUGGUUUGCUUGUUGAGCUGGUGGGGUUUAGCUUGUCUCAGAAAUGCCCCUGGUACCCCCCCAGCAUGGGAGCUGCUUCUGGCUCCCAGGGAGCUGCUGAGAGACUGUAAAAAAAAAAAAACAAAAAAACCCAAAAGCCCUGUAAUCUCCAUCUACCCUGCCACUGCUCAUUCAUCGGUACCAGGAAGCUCUAAGCCUUGUCACAGCUCAGACAACCUCCAGUUCAGUCCAUGGCCCUGUAAACAUCUCUGGCAGGCAGAAGGAAGGCAGGAGGAAGGCAAGAAGACAUGCAGCUCCCUGGCAAAGCCUGGCUCCACUGUCCCAGCUCAAGCCCUUCACACAGUUUGGUCUCCCUGUGCUACAGAGAAGCAGGUUUUCUUCCAGAGAAGAGGCCAGCCUGACAGCUGUUUAUACCAGCCCUCUGUUUAUACCCAGCUGGCUGAGGCACUGCAGCUUUUCCUUAAUCCUGAGAUUAACAGAGAAAGGAAAACACAAAGAUUAAGGAGGCCCUGAAGCAAAAACAUGGCAAAACAUGUAACAGCAAACUUUGCUGCUUUUGAAAUGCGAGGAGUGAGAACAAGCAAUAAAAAAAUUUGGCCAGAUGCUGCACUGUACCUGGAAUUGAGUCCCUAAGGAAAGCAUCUCACAGCCUUUGGUGCUUGUGGUGAAGCAAUACAGCAGCAUCACAGUGAGAAGAACACAGUGCUGCAAGCGACCCAACACAGGUUUGGCUGGCACCAGGAUUUGCUGCACAGCUUGAGGUCAGCAUUUACAAGAGGAGGCUUCUUCACUCUGAUGGCACAGACACAGGAUAGCAGCACCGAGGGACAGCCCCAGCCAAGAGCACUGUAAAACACAGAAACCCCUCCUCUGCAUCUUCCUUCUUUUAGUUGCUCCUCAGGUUCCUUCAUUACCUACUAAACACAAACACCCUGAGGCUGGUACCUCACACCCCUCUUCCUCACUGUUUCCAGGUGGGUCUUGUCUGAGUGAUGGGGAGCCCUUGGUGCUGGUCAGACCCCACCUUUCCUGUGUGUGGGGCAGUGCCUGGGCAUGUGGGUGCUCUGGGACUUCACAGUGAGCUCUUCUAUUGCAUUCAUGCACAUGGCUCUAAGGAUGCUCCCAAAGUCCUGACCUGGUGCAUGCUGCACCAAACAACAAAAUAAAAGCAGCAUGCUAAGGAGAUGUCUCUUCUCUAAAUUCAUCAAUAUCCCAGCCAGGGAGGCAAGGAGAAUCUGCUAUUUGGUUUUGUCUCUACAGAGGCUUAUUUAAUUCCUCACUUGCUGUAAAGGCAAGGAGAACUAGGACAAAGGGAAGAGAAGGGCUGGGCUUGAGGAAAGGGUUUGGAGGAAGGAAAAAGGUGGAGGUACAGAAUAAAUGGAAAAACAAAAUAAGAGACAGAGGUCUGUCCUAAACAGUAACAAAAAUCUCUCCUGGCUGUCAAUCUCUAGCUCCUCUACUCCUUGUGUUGUCAUUAGUCCACAGUUCAAAGCUCAGCCAAUGUGAGGGAGGAAUCUCCCUUCCCACCCAAGCUUCUGCAGGAGGGAGAGGAGCUCACUGCCAGCUGUCCAAGCCUGUGUCUGUCCUGGCCUUGCUGGUCCUUUUCUGUGCAGUAGUGAGCUCUCCCUGACAUGGACUUUUGGGAUGUGCAGCAGAUCCAGGCAUGGCCCCUCC